GAUGAACGCUGGCGGCGUGUCUAAGGCAUGCAAGUCAAACGGGUGCAUUGCGAUUACCUCAAGAUGUACCAGUGGCAAACGGGUGCGUAACACAUUGGUAACCUGCCUCGAAGACGUGAAUAACCUGCCGAAAGGCGGGCUAAAACGCGAUACGGAUGCGGGGGCGCAAGCCAUUCGCAUUGAAAAGUCGUAAGACGCUUCGAGAGGGGCCUAUGGUCUAUCAGCUAGUUGGUGAGGUAACGGCUCACCAAGGCUACGACGGAUAGCAGGCGUGAGAGCGCGACCUGCCUCAGUGGGACUGAGACACUGCCCACACUCCUACGGGAGCUGCAGUCAAGAAUCUUCCUCAAUGGGCAAAGCCUGAAGGAGCGACGCCGCGUGCCAGAUGAAG
rnacentral:rRNA from 1 species